rnacentral:rRNA from 1 species
CCUACGGGUGGCAGCAGUGGGGGAUAUUGCACAAUGGGGGAAACCCUGAUGCAGCGACGCCGCGUGUGGGAAGACGGUCCUCUGGAUUGUAAACCACUGUCCCCAGGGACGAAGAUGACGGUACCUGGGGAGGACGCUCCGGCUAACUACGUGCCAGCAGCCGCGGUAAUACGUAGGGAGCGAGCGUUGUCCGGAAUUACUGGGUGUAAGGGGAGCGUAGGCGGGACUGCAAGUUGGGUGUCAAAUCUACCGGCUCAACCGGUAGCCGCACUCAAAACUGCAGUUCUUGAGUGAAGUAGAGGCAGGCGGAAUUCCUAGUGUAGCGGUGAAAUGCGUAGAUAUUAGGAGGAACACCAGUGGCGAAGGCGGCCUGCUGGGCUUUUACUGACGCUGAGGCUCGAAAGUGUGGGGAGCAAACAGGAUUAGAUACCCCGGUAGUC